CCUGGCUAGAACGAACGCUGGCAGCGUGGAUAGGCAUGCAAGUCGAACGGGAUCGGGAAGGUAGCAAUAUCGGCCCGUGAGAGUGGCGGAAGGGCGAGGAACACGUGAGCAACCUGUCCUUGAGGUGGGAAAACCGUUGGAAACGACGGCUAAUACCGAAUGCGGCGCCGGGAGACAUCUUCCGAGCGCUAAAGGGGGCCGCAAGGCUCCCCCUCUUCGAGGGGCUCGCGCACCAUCAGCUUGUUGGCGGGGUAACGGCCCACCAAGGCUCACGGUUAGCUGGUCUGAGAGGAUGGCCAGCCGCACUGGGACUGAGAUACUGCCCAGACUCCUACGGGAGGCUGCAGUCGAGGAUUAUUCGCAAUGGGGGAAACCCUGACGAUGCGACGCUGCGUGGAGGAUGAAGGCCCUCGGGUCGUAAACUCCUGUCAUGAGGGAAAAGGCGAGGGGACCCAACACGUCCCUUAGUUGAUGGUACCUCAAGAGGAACGGGCGGCUAACUCUGUGCCAGCCGCAGC
rnacentral:rRNA from 1 species